rnacentral:misc_RNA from 1 species
GAAUUCCAUAUCAAUUUAUUCAAACCAUUCUUGGAUAAACACCUAAUAGAAGUUCACAUCAAUAGGGAAAUCUAGAAUCUGUACAAUGCUUACCAAUGUUGGAUAAGCACCUAUUAUUCAUGAGUAUAAAAUCAUAGCUGAAUUACUUGAGGCACAAAUUACAUUCUCAAGAUUGAACUGAAAAAGACCAGCAUGUUCUGUUUCUUGAAUGCAUCUUCUAUUCAAGACAAACCCCAAUCGGAGUUCACGUGAAGCGCUCCAUAUGACAACAGAUCCUAUUUGAGGCUGUUGGAAGAUGCCUCAAUUGCUGCAAAUAAGAAGUUAGAAGAAGAAAGUUUAUCUCCAAACUAACAACUUCUAUCAUGUUUUUUGAAUUUUCUGUUGUUUUUUGAAUUUGUAAUCUUCAGCAACAAUUAUAUUAUAAAAAUGCAGAAGCAAUCAAUAUAAGUGUGACAAUUUUUCAGACCCAAAAAGAAAACUUUCUUGUUCUUUUUCUUUGUAAACCAGUUUUGUCAGGGAAGUUGUUGUUUAUAACCAUACAUGUUAAGAGAA